rnacentral:lncRNA from 1 species
CCUAGCAUAAAAAUCACUUUUAAGUACGUUGCUAAAGCUUAGCCAAACUUGGUCAACAGGGAACCAAACUCUCUCUCUUUUUGUUAUUCUCUCUUCAAUCAUAAGAAGUUGAUCAUUUGAAGCAGAAUGACAGGCAAAAAGUUAGAAUUUAGUGCUUAUUUUGCAUUGCAGUAUGAAGGUUAGAUUCAGAAAUCCUGCACGACCUAUUGCUUUGAAAAUAUAAAUGCACAAUUCAAUUAUUUGAUAGCCAUGGCUGACUGCAGUGACUUGAGGCAAAAAGCAUCAUGUGGUGAAUUCUUCGGAAUCUUAACAAGGAUUCUCUAUUGAUGCAUUAAGAUGCAGACGUAAAACAGAGUUGUACACUUGAUUGCAAUCCUUUUAACUUAGCCUUCUUAAUUGUUGAACCAGACGAAACAUAAACAUACCUCAAUAACACUGCACGUGUCUCGCUCAUAAGUUGAUCGAGUUUUGUUGCACAAGAAAGAUCUGAAUAACUGCUGCUGCUGGAGGGUGAAACAAGGUUAUGUGCUCUCGAAUCUUCUGGCAUCAAAUAGCCUACCCAGUGAUGAGGGCUCCCCAUGCUCAUAAAAGUGUCCAAUAUUUGAACAAUGGUUUCAUGAAGUGUGGGAGCAUUGAAGAAAUCCUUCAAUUGCUUUCUGUAAACACGUAGGUUAUAAGCAUUUAAUAACAGGGGAUCAGAAUUCCAAGUAAUAAUCCAAAGAGUGAACUUCCCGUAAUAUCAAAUUCUACAGGACAUAGCUCGUUUAGCUUUAGGUAAAUCAAGUGAGCUUACGUUAGAUUGAACACUAGAAUAUAGGAAGCACAAAAAACUUCACAUUUUCGAAUUCAAUAGAAGAGGCUGGAAACAACCCAUGGCAUUGAAUUACUUAAUUUGCUAUUGAAUCACCUUCAAUCACUCAAAAUGAUAGGAAAAUGAAUUACUUUGAAGUUUCUUAGCACAUUAAUUUGAAAUUAGAAACAACAUUUGCACAAAGCCUAUAUCUAGAUGAUUUUGUUGAAAUACAGACAUGAAUCUUAUAUGCAGUAAAACAGUUUUUGUUCUCUGCAGGAACCACCAGUACAUCGAGGGAGAAGAAUUAAUCUUCUUCGCCCAUCUAUGAUCUAACCAACUCUAUAAAAAUUGUUGGUCUAUCAAAUGGAUAAAAAUUUGUAGUUCUUCAUGAACUAUAAUGGAUCACGUUGAUGGAGUUUGAUAAACAUUCAAUCCAUGAACUUAAUUCUCCCGAUUUUUCUUUUAUACAUAAAAUGGUUGAAACCUCAACUCCCUUUCCAUUUUUCAUGCUCCCCGUUCUUUUUUGGAAAGUAAAUCAUCAAUGGAAGACAAUCAAACAACCCAAAUGUGCCUCUAAGGAUCAAAUUUUACAUUCAAGAAAGUAAAUCAUCAAGGGAAGCAAAUCAAACAAACCAAGUGUGCCUCUCAGGAUCCAAUAUUCAAUUCAAGAUUUAUCCAGUGUUCAGAAACCCACGUUCGUUUUAAAAUUACCGAUAUCCAACUAACAACCACAUUUAAUGAUCAAUUUUUGUCAGUGGAAUUGGAAACAAUUGUCUUAAUUAAAAUCAAAUUGAAGUGUAGUUACCAUAUUGAAAUCAAAUUGAAGUAUAGCCCCUGUUUGACAACCAUUAAAACAAAACUCAUUUUUUCUCAAACUUAUUUUCAACCAUGUAUUCUUCCAAUAAAAUAUUCUGCACGUAAACCUAAAACUUUUUCUUAUUUUUAACCACAUAUUCUCCAAAAAGAAAUAACUAUUACAAAACUCAUUUUUCCCAAAAAAAUAAAAAUAAAUAAUAAUAAUAAUAAUAAAUAAAUAAAUAAAUUACUCAUUUUAAUGGUUGUCAAACAGGGACAUAGAAAACUUAAGUAGAUUUACUUGAUUGACACUAGAGUGAAAGUAUAGUAACCACGAAUUGUAUCUAUCCAAAUUGUAACAUACUUUGCAUGCAGGAUAACUUGAAAAAAGAUAAAACUAGCUGCUACAUAUAAUUAUUUCCCGUAUUGCUAAUGUGCAUAGAAGUAAAUCAAGAUAUUAUGCAACCUGUGUGAGCCUCUAGAGUCUAGACAUAAGUUUUAACUUAAAGUUAGGAUGUACCAUUGUCACCUGGGCCACUACAAGUAUGGCUGGCUAAGCGCAAAAGAUGAAAAGUACUUCUUCGAAAAAAUAAAUAAAUAAAUAAAUAAAUAUAUAUAUAGAUAAUAACUUUUAAGCUUAGACAUAUGUGUUGGCCUAGCAUAAAAAUCACUUUUAAGUACGUUGCUAAAGCUUAGCCAAACUUGGUCAACAGGGAACCAAACUCUCUCUCUUUUUGUUAUUCUCUCUUCAAUCAUAAGAAGUCGAUCAUUUGAAGCAGAAUGACAGGCAAAAAGUUAGAAUUUAGUGCUUAUUUUGCAUUGCAGUAUGAAGGUUAGAUUCAGAAAUCCUGCACGACCUAUUGCUUUGAAAAUAUAAAUGCACAAUUCAAUUAUUUGAUAGCCAUGGCUGACUGCAGUGACUUGAGGCAAAAAGCAUCAUGUGGUGAAUUCUUCGGAAUCUUAACAAGGAUUCUCUAUUGAUGCAUUAAGAUGCAGACGUAAAACAGAGUUGUACACUUGAUUGCAAUCCUUUUAACUUAGCCUUCUUAAUUGUUGAACCAGACGAAACAUAAACAUACCUCAAUAACACUGCACGUGUCUCGCUCAUAAGUUGAUCGAGUUUUGUUGCACAAGAAAGAUCUGAAUAACUGCUGCUGCUGGAGGGUGAAACAAGGUUAUGUGCUCUCGAAUCUUCUGGCAUCAAAUAGCCUACCCAGUGAUGAGGGCUCCCCAUGCUCAUAAAAGUGUCCAAUAUUUGAACAAUGGUUUCAUG